rnacentral:lncRNA from 1 species
UCUACAAAUAGGUUAAUAUGACCAAAAUUGUCAAUUGACCCCUUGAGGGGUAAAUGUCCUUUAAUGACAAUUUUUCACAAUUUGUUCAUCAUAUUUGCUAACUUUAAAAAAUCUUCUCCUCUGAAACUACUGAAUGGAUUUGGAUGAAACUUAGCAUGAUAGUUCCUUAGAUUAUCCUGCACAAAGUGUGUGCUUCGAUUUUUGAUCCGUCAAAAAACAUGGCCGCCCUUACUUUAAAAUAGAAUAUAGAAUGAUUGUAAGGUGUACAUGUCUAGCUGACAGGUGUCAUCUAACCUUGACCUCAUUUUCAUAAUUCAGUGGUCAAAGUUAACUUUUUUAGUUUUGGUCUAUUUUUUUAAUAAUUUAUGCAUUAGGUCAACUAUAUUUGGUGUAUGAAAAUAUUUUAUGAUCUAUAUGUCGGUUACGCAGGUUUUAUUUGAACUUGACCUCAUUUUCACAGUCCAUUGCUAAGUUUUAAGUGUUUGUGUUUUGGUCUCAUUUUCUUUAUUUAUAAACAGUAAUUCAUAUAUAUUUGUAAUAUUGAAGAAUUGUUAGCUGUACAUGUUUGCCUGGCAUGGUUCAAUAUGUUCAAUAAGGCAUUGUUUACCAGGUGAGCGAUUCAGGCUCUUGAGAGCCUCUUGUUUAUAGUGAAAUCGGAAGCACUCCGACUUACGUAGAACAAGAAAUGAAAUAUGUAGAUCGCCUAUGAAAAGACUUUUAUCAUUGAUAUGGUAAUAGUUAUAAAUCAAGUGGUUACGAUUUUAUAUCCCAGGAGUGUGCAAGAUGUGUUUGGAAAAACCUUUUGGAUUUUUGAGGCCUCGAUGCUCUUCAACUUCGUUUUUUUAUUUGGCCUUUAUAUUUUUUUAUUCGAAUGUCACUGAUGGGUGUUUGAAGACGAAACGCGAGUUUGGCGUACACAAUUUUAGGUAUUGAUCAAAUAUUGGAAGAACUGUCCACUUUAUCCCUAAUAUGUUAAAUGAAACAAAUUUUUAAGCAUCUGAGCUUUUAUAUUGAAAUUAUUAGUUGAGUUUUUCACAUAUUCCAAUACCUUUAACGUUUAACGAAACAUCAUAACUUAAUUUUUUCCCAAUCAAUAUGAUCAUAAAAAUAUUCUUAAACACAACUACAAGAAAAUUUGGUCAAUGAAACAACAAGCCGAAAAAAAAUUACCAGAAUACAGGUAUGGCUUAACAUACUAAAAGUCUUCAAAAAUACACACGAUCGAUCGCAAGACUUGUUUUCGAGUGAAUAUAUAAAAAUUGUCAAGGUUCUUCACCAGGUAAUUUCGUCAUAUUAGUGUUAUGUCAAUGGAUAUAUGAUGAUGCAAGGUUACAAUUAUACUUCACGACAAUUCCAAAUUGCAAUACACAACCAAAUGUAAAAAUAUACAAACAGUAAUAGCAUAUUUAUGCACAUAAAUUCUUAUGACAGUUUUAUUUACACAGAUGAAAAAUGUAUUUUAGGGCUAAUAUGGUUGUACGAAUCACAUGAUUUUAAUACAACAGUAUCAUUUAUUUAAUUGUAAUCAUAACAAAUAAAGAAAAUACAUUACUAAACAUGAAAUGAUAGAUGCUUGGAAAACAUGUGUAGUUUGUGUAUUUGUAAGUGAAUCUUAUGCAGAAAAUAACCACUUGUCUUUAAUCCUGUCCAAUUGUAAUCUUUCACGAUUGUCAUGCUACUACAACAAUAUUGACAAUAUACAAUUUUGUCAUACACCUUUAUAAAAAAGUAACAUAAAGCUUUAAAUUUUUUUGUUUGGAUACAUGUGCGCCUCUGUAUGAAAAUCUGUUGUAUUGUUGACAAGCCUGAUCCUUAUAAUAAGCCUUAUAAUACGCAACCUUCUACGUCGCAAAUUUUACUUGCUAAUUAAUGCAGAUAGCUCGUAGCAUCAUCUCCAUUUAAAAUACAUUAUCAACUUUAAUUAAAAAAAAUAGAUAAAUACAAAUUGUCAUCUAUAAAAAAUUAAAUCGCCUUUCAAAAGUAUGAAAAUUCAAACCACAAAAGGUAUUUACCAGACAAAAUUGUACCUUAUUUGUAGGGUAUCAUAAUAGAUUUUCACAUUUAGCCAGAUUUGUGUUUUUCUGAAAAAAGUUAAUUUAGAUUAAAAAAAGACUGAUAAUAAUGGAUGUUGCUUUUUAGUCGACAGGAAUUAUCAUAUAAUGAGAGCACAUUCUAAGAUGGUUCUUUUUUCCCUAACUUUAUCGACAAUCUAACUUAUCAUAGGUUUUCACAAUACUUAACCUUAUCCAAGUUGAUAGGACUACAAUGCAAAUGAAAUUCAAAUGGAUUAUGCAAAUGCCAGUAUAAACUGAGAUUAGUUGCGAAUUCAAAGCCAGGGGUGGGCGCAGAAGUCGUUCGGACACCUUUGAUAAAAAAAAAUGAUAUCUUUGCAUAAAAACAGCCAAAAAUUGCCUCACAUAUCGGGGUAUACAUCUUUUUUUUCUCCGAAUGAAACCCCUUCUAAUCCUUAAGUCCUGUAACCGCCCAUUUGUAUACAUAAAUAGUGGCAUUUUUUUUUUUAAUUAAAUGGAAAACAUUGGUACUAUUUUUAUCAAAUAGUUUUCUAAUAGCUUAAGAAAUAAUCAAAUACCCAUAUACGGUUGAAGUUUUAAAUCCAUAAUUUUAAUAAUACGAUCACCGGUGGGACCGUAUUAAGCUACUGUCGCUCUAAUUGAUUCUUUAUUUGAUUAUUUAAUUAUUCUAAUUUAUAGAAUGAUGAUGUUCUGAUAUGAUGAUUUUGUUCAAUAAAUAUAGAUCAAGUAAAAAUGAUUGUAAUAUAUGAAUAUUUAUACAUGCUGCCUUUUUAUAAUUGGAUGGAACAUAUUUUGUAUUGGUAAAAUAAAACUAUUGAGCAUAUAAAUGAAAAUUUUAUUGGAAUUUGUAACAAUUGAUAUAUUUCUUUUAAAUAUUUUUUGUUGUUAAGGUAUACGUUUAAGGGUAGUUACAACUUAUUAAUGAGUGAAUUAUACACCUAAAACGUUUUUUCGACCAAUUGAGUCCCACACAAUCAGUCCAGCAAAUCUUAUCUGAUUGAAGUUGUAAAAAUAAAAAAUGAAAGUUAGAAUUUAUUACAAUUAAGAUUUUAUUUAAGUGGAAGGUCAAUUUGUUAAAGAAAGCUAUAUGUCAAUGUUUAUGAAAAAAAUCCCACUAUUAUGACAAAUCAUAUAUAAUAAGACAGGACAAUGUUGUCAUUCAUCAAAAUUAAAAGAAAGCUUUCAUUCAAAUCUUUAAACUAUACUAUAGUUCUUUUAGUGCAAAGAAAAAUAGGAAACUUGGUUUGUAUAUGUCUCAAUUGUAUUGUUAAGACAUUAGGAUCAAAUCAUAUGUUUUGAGGGAUACCUUAAGGUGGUACCCAACACUACAAGGAGAUAACUCUGUAAAGUCAGCUAAACGUUUUAAUUACAUUGUGUUGUAAAAUGAAUAUAAAGCUUCUCAAUGAUUAAAAUUGGUGUUUGUCAAACUGCUAUAUAACUACUCUUUACUCAUUUUGAUUGAAUUAUAAAUAACGUCAUCACAAAGACUGUGAACAAGAAAUGCA